UACGAAGGGGGCUAGCGUUGCUCGGAAUCACUGGGCGUAAAGCGCACGUAGGCGGAUCUUUAAGUCAGGGGUGAAAUCCUGGAGCUCAACUCCAGAACUGCCUUUGAUACUGGGGAUCUCGAGUCCGGAAGAGGUGAGUGGAACUCCGAGUGUAGAGGUGAAAUUCGUAGAUAUUCGGAGGAACACCAGUGGCGAAGGCGGCUCACUGGUCCGGUACUGACGCUGAGGUGCGAAAGCGUGGGGAGCAAACAGG
rnacentral:rRNA from 1 species